rnacentral:rRNA from 1 species
GCUCAGGACGAACGCUGGCGGCGUGCUUAACACAUGCAAGUCGAACGGUGACGACCAGCUUGCUGGUCUGAUCAGUGGCGAACGGGUGAGUAACACGUGAGCAACCUGCCCUUCACUCUGGGAUAAGCCUUGGAAACGAGGUCUAAUACCGGAUAUGAGACGCACCGGCAUCGGUAGCGUCUGGAAAGAUUUAUCGGUGAGGGAUGGGCUCGCGGCCUAUCAGCUUGUUGGUGGGGUGAUGGCCUACCAAGGCGACGACGGGUAGCCGGCCUGAGAGGGCGACCGGCCACACUGGGACUGAGACACGGCCCAGACUCCUACGGGAGGCAGCAGUGGGGAAUAUUGCACAAUGGGCGCAAGCCUGAUGCAGCGACGCCGCGUGAGGGAUGACGGCCUUCGGGUUGUAA